rnacentral:rRNA from 1 species
CCGGCACGGGUGAGUAACGCGUAUGCAACUUACCUAUCAGGAGGGGAUAACCCGGCGAAAGUCGGACUAAUACCGCAUGAAGCAGGGGCCCCGCAUGGGGAUAUUUGCUAAAGAUUCAUCGCUGAUAGAUAGGCAUGCGUUCCAUUAGGCAGUUGGCGGGGUAACGGCCCACCAAACCGACGAUGGAUAGGGGUCCUGAGAGGAAGGUCCCCCACAUUGGUACUGAGACACGGACCAA